CAAAUGCAUCUCUUCAGUUAUCUAAAUUGGUGACGAAUAUAUUACACUUAUGUGUGAUCAUCAGCGGGCGGCUUUUCAGUUUAUCAACAACCACCAUCUACCGUCAUUAUGUAAACCGGAAGCGCAGCCGAGAAAUGUAGAUUUGCGAAGACCGAAAAUGGCUAUUGUCAAAGCAGAACGAGAUUUUACAAAACUUAAGAUUGUAGAACUAAAACAGGAGUUGUCUCAUCGUAAUUUGAAAACAAAAGGGAGUAAGGCUGAGCUCUUAGCAAGACUGGUAAAGGCUUAUGAAGAUGAAGAAGAACAUGAAGACAGUGUGGAUGAAGAAACUGCCUUUGAAGACAUUGAGUCAGAUGUCUUUGGUACAAGCUCUAAGGAAGAGGAGUUGGAUAUACUUGAGGAUGAAGAAUCUUUGCAAGAACAUGUCAAAAAUCCCCUGACUCCAGUACCACAAGUGGUCUCCGGACCAGAGGUUGGAAAUUUGUGUUCCAGGCAGGCAGAAAAACUGAGCAUUAAAACUGUUGCAUCCAUGACGAAAGAAGAGCGGCUUAAGAAGAGAACGGAAAGAUUCGGCAAGUCUGCCAGUGAUCAAGCAAAGAAAGAAGCCAGAGCUGCUCGGUUUGGCAUUCCAGUUUACGGUAAGACAAAUGUUUUGGAGACAUUCUUGGGUUCUCAACAUACCCAAUUUACAGUGCUGGAGCAGGUGACACAGAAAUUAAACAAAAUCCGGUUUGUCAAGAAAAAUUAAGGAAGAGAAAGGAACGAUUUGGAAUUGUGAUGGAUACAACAGGUCUGCUUGAUAAUCAGGCUAAGAAAAGGAUGAGAGCCGAGCGCUUUGGAAUAAAUCUGAACUAAACAUUAACACAAUGUUAAAAGUACUGUGGGUGUUUAGAAUUUAAAAUGAGGGUGAAAAAAAGACUUGCUGACACGAAAUAUUGUCAUUGUUAAUUAAAACAAGGAAGUGUGGUCGUGCUUUCCAGUGUUCUGUUUGCAUGUUUGUUUAGCAAGUUAUUUUUAUUUUUUAGUAUGUGUCGCAAGCAGCCUUAGUGUAGUCAAAAUGUGUUUCAAUAUAUUUUAUAAUAAGCCUCUUUUCAAAGAAUUGGCUGAUGCAGAUAUAUUUGUUCUUCCACACUGUAAUCCUUUUGCAAGUUAUCAUGAUAAAUAUUUAAAAUCUAAAGCUGCCCUGAAAGUGUGAUUUUUAUUUAUUUUUUGUAUUAUUAUUUCUUCAUUCAUCUAUAGAACUGCUUAUCCAGUUGUGAUGAAACCUGGUUAGAACACUCUUUAGCACAUGUCAUUUAGAGUAACAGAGCCAGAGAAAAUAUAACAAGGCCUGUCUGAACAUUUAUAUCCAGUUAUGAAUAUAACAAUAGAGCAGUGGUUCUCACUUGGCUCCUUUUCAGUCUAUCCCAAUCAAAGAACUUGUUCAAACAAGCUCCUUAAUUACCUAGUUGAAAACCUAGUUUCAGUGAAACAGUUAGAGCUGUAUGAAACAAGGCUCUGAACUGCUGUUCAGUAAUUUAGGAUACUAUUGGGAAUGGAGUAGAUUGGAAGUGAAUACCACUGUUAAAGUAUUGGGAUCUGGGGAUGCAGUAUUUAUUCUAUAUGGAAUUGUCUACGUACAGUAUAUGUGUCACAUAGGUAGGUCCUCUUGGUUUACUUUUUCAAAAUACUGAUAGCUGUUGUAUUUACUGGCUGGGGAUUGAGAAUGUCAAGCAAUUUGAGUUACCGACUUAAUAUUUUCCAUGUUAUGGAAACUCCUCUGAGGAAAUAUAAGUUCUUCCUGACCUGUGACUUACUGUAGCUACCAUAUUGGUCAUGUGUCUUUGAGAUGUUGUUCAGGACUAUAAUUCUUUUUGAUUUAAAAAAAAAGUUUUCAUGGGUUUUGUGCAAAUUUAAAACAAAAAAAGCUGUUUUGUUUCAGCAAUGUUCACAUGCCUCAGUUUCUGUUUUAUAAUAAAGACUACUGUAGGACA